GCCAAACAGUACGACGCGGAAGGGUGGGUGCUUGCAUAACGAGGGACCCCGUAUUCCGUGAACCCCCACAUCUGCACACCACACCAUACACGUUUUACACGUCUGCACAAAGAUGUGCACGCCACGCAACACAUAAAUGUGACGUGGUUAUACGACAUCUGUCUGCUGUCCACACGUAUGUCCUACUGAUACUGGGCGCAAAAGGCGACUUCUGAGGGUGCAACGUCUGAGGCCCAGCGGGGAGGGAGGACACGGACUUCAAACCUUAGUUCCUCAAAAUGGAGAUACACCUUGUAAGAGUGCCUUAAGAACCAAGUGUAAAACAAAUAUUGUGGUGUAUACUGCCUGGCAUGCAGUAAGUACUCAUGCUGUCAUUAUUACAACAAAGCUGCUCAUCACUUCCCAAUUUAUCUAUAGGAGCAUUUGCAAUGUUAAAAAAAAACACAACAACCCUGUAUAUCCUGCAGAUAAGAGUAAUUUUUAAGAAAUAAAUAAGGUUGGAACAGAAUAAAUCUUAAUGGAGUUUUGCAUCUCCUAUGCUAGAGAGCAAACCAAGACUGUCUUUCUGUCUCGGUGUGGGAGACCGCUGAUCUAGCACCCUCUUCCUCCUUGUCAAUCCCCUUCUGAUUCUCAUUCUCAGUCUGAGUUCAUAUUCCCACUUCACUCUCAUCUACUGCCUUUACCAGAAGACACGUCAGGAAGGCCUAGGAUAGACAGAUUUUUAUGUUAGUUUGUCCUCACACAAAAAAGAGUGUUGGUGCAGUUAAAGUGAUUUGAACACUGAAGUCUGCGGGAAUUUAAAAUAGUGGCUGAGAUUUUUCUUCUUGGACCACACAGAAUCGAAGGCUCCAAAAACAUACAAAACAAAUAUAAAAACCACAUAAAGCCUUUUGCCUGUUUUUAUUUCCAAAUAGUUUCCACCUAAAAUUCUCCUGUGAUUUGAAUUGUAUUAAAACUGCCUAUAGUAAAAUAAGCAAUAAUUAUUUACUCGUUCUCUGACAUUAAAGACAAGAAUUUAUUUGCUAACACUUUAUAAACCAACCAGAUGAAAGUAUUUUCUACAUAAUGACAGAGAAAAUCUUUCAGCACCCUGUCACCAUGCAGCUGAAUUAAGAACCAACAGCUUUAGAAAGUUAAGAGGCCAAUCAACUUGAAGGCAGUCUCUAGACAGGGAGUAUACACGAGCUGCUACCAAACAGAUAAUGGAGGCAUCUUUCCAAUUUAUUUAUGACCAAAGCACUCAUUCUGUCCUUUAUGAAUCUCAAUCUUAUUUCACAAAAAUCCCAAAGUAAGGCAUUUGAAUUCCAGCUGUACAGAUAUGUGACCUGAAGAGAACCGUCAUCAGUAACACAUCAACAUUUUCAAAUCAUGGAAGGAUUCUCAGGUAACAAGGUACUUGCCUCCUUUCAUGUGGCAACAGACAGGAAUGAGAGGCAUUUCACAGAAGAAAUGUCUGUGAUUAUUUUUUCUUUUUUUAACAUCUAAUUUUUAUUAAAAUACAAGAGAGUGCACAGAUCAUAAAUAUGUAACUUGAUGAAUUUCCCACUAAGUGAACACACCCAUGUAACUAGCACCCAGAUCAAGAAAUACAGUAUUACCCAAACUUGGGAAGUUCCUCUUGUGCUCCCCCCACAACCCCCUAGUCACUACUCAAUCAAGGUAACUGCUAUCUUAACCUCCAACAGAACCCAGAAAAGUUUAAAGCCCUUUACUACUGUUAAAAACCAAACAACCAACACCAGAAUAUAAAAUAGCUUGGCAAAAGAUCUGACUUUCACAGUCUAAAGAUAGGAUAUGCCUGCUUUUAUUGCUACUCCAGAUACACUGUGAACCAAAGUGAGGAAGUGAGCCCAUUUUAAAUGUCAGAUACUGAGCUAGGCAGCAACCUGGGAAGUAGGACGUUAGCUGUUUUACAGAUGAGACUCAAAAGGAUAAGUAACUUUUCUAAUGUCACAAGGCAACAAAUAGUGGAGCCAGGAUUCAAAAUCAGAGCAAUCUAUUACAAACCUCAUGCUCAUUCGACUACAUCAAAGGUUUUCAAGUUAUAUUCUGCAAGCUACUGGGUUCCAUGAAAACACCCUGGGACUACAGAAGGAAAACAGAAUAAUCCCUACCCCCACUUCAUCCAGAACAAUGCCUCUUUUAUCUAUUAUUUGGGGUUCUCUAUAAAAUUUCAAAUGAAGGAAGGAUUUCACAUUUUUAGAAAAAGCCCAUAUGCCAGAGAAUACAUAUAGCAAGUUCUAGACUCUUCUAGUUGCAUCAUUUUGUGUUAACACUAAAAACACCCCCCCCCAAAAAAAACCCCUUUCUUUCCUAAAGAGGUAAUAGAUGCACAUGAUACAAAAUUCAAAACGUAUACAAGAUAAACAGUGAAAAGGAAUCACCCUCCCAUGUGGCCCCCAGUUUUCAAUUGGUUUCCUACAUGUCCUACUAAAGAGAGACUAUGUAUAUAUUCAAGCAAAUAUGUGUAUGUACUCUUUUUUUAAAAAUACCCGAAGGGUAAAAGAUCCGAAGAGCAC